GCUGAACUGACUCGGGUCGAGGAAGGAGUAAGGAGCGGACGUCGGCGGCAGAAACGCUCUGGCUUUCUCCGAAGGGCCCAAAAGAGAGUCCGCGGCCGACACGGGAAGUCCCUUCAAGUGGUCGGUGUCCCCGAGGACUGCCAGUGGCUCAAGUGUGAGACCUGAACCUCAAGACAUGGUGCAGAGCUCCCAUGACUCAGAAUUGUCAUCCUAAACUAUUGAAGUGGGACAACCUUUGUUGGACAAACAGCUGCUUGUGAAAUCUGAGCUGGACAGUAGAUUUUGUAAAAUCAAAAACAGAGACAAGUGAGAUAAU